UACGUAGGGUGCAAGCGUUGUCCGGAAUUAUUGGGCGUAAAGAGCUCGUAGGCGGUCUGUCGCGUCUGCUGUGAAAACCCGGGGCUCAACCCCGGGCUUGCAGUGGAUACGGGCAGACUGGAGUGUGGUAGGGGAGACUGGAAUUCCUGGUGUAGCGGUGGAAUGCGCAGAUAUCAGGAGGAACACCGAUGGCGAAGGCAGGUCUCUGGGCCACUACUGACGCUGAGAAGCGAAAGCAUGGGGAGCGAACAGG
rnacentral:rRNA from 1 species